rnacentral:rRNA from 1 species
UACGUAGGUGGCAAGCGUUGUCCGGAUUUACUGGGCGUAAAGAGCGCGCAGGCGGUCGUUCAAGUCGCGUGUGAAAGCCCCCGGCUCAACUGGGGAGGGUCACGCGAUACUGAUCGACUCGAAGGCAGGAGAGGGAAGUGGAAUUCCCGGUGUAGUGGUGAAAUGCGUAGAUAUCGGGAAGAACACCAGUGGCGAAAGCGGCUCUCUGGGGACCACCUGACGCUGAGGCGCGAAAGCGUGGGGAGCGAACCGG